AGAAAGGGCCGGGCAAGACCGGUGCCAGCCGCCGCGGUAAUACCGGCGGCUCGAGUGGUGGCCACUAUUACUGGGCUUAAAGCGUUCGUAGCUGGUUUGUUAAGUCUCUGGGGAAAUCUUCCGGCUUAACCGGAAGGCGUCUCAGGGAUACUGGCAGACUAGGGACCGGGAGAGGUGAGGGGUACUCCAGGGGUAGGAGUGAAAUCCUGUAAUCCUUGGGGGACCACCUGUGGCGAAGGCGCCUCACCAGAACGGCUCCGACAGUGAGGGACGAAAGCUGGGGGAGCAAACCGGAUUAGAUACCCGGGUAGUCCCAGCUGUAAACGAUGCGCGUUAGGUGUAUCGGUGACCACGAGUCACCGAGGUGCCGAAGAGAAAUCGUGAAACGUGCCGCCUGGGAAGUACGGUCGCAAGGCUGAAACUUAAAGGAAUUGGCGGGGGAGCACCACAACAGGUGGAGCCUGCGGUUUAAUCGGACUCAACGCCGGGAAACUCACCAGUUAAGACAGCUGAAUGAUAGUCGGGCUGAAGACUCUACUUGACUAGCUGAGAGGAAGUGCAUGGCC
rnacentral:rRNA from 1 species